GGUUAAGCGACUAAGCGUACACGGUGGAUGCCCUGGCAGUCAGAGGCGAUGAAGGACGUGCUAAUCUGCGAUAAGCGUCGGUAAGGUGAUAUGAACCGUUAUAACCGGCGAUUUCCGAAUGGGGAAACCCAGUGUGAUUCGUCACACUAUCAUUAACUGAAUCCAUAGGUUAAUGAGGCGAACCGGGGGAACUGAAACAUCU
rnacentral:rRNA from 1 species